UGCAAAAGAGUAGGACUCAGCUCAUUAGAACUUAGUCAAAUGCUCCAGGGAUUUCUAGGGUAUCUCGAUGCCAGGUUGCACUAAGAAGAAGGGAAAGAAGACUGAGGGCAAUGGAGUCAGGCAGCCCAGAAAGUCUGCAAUAAAUUUGGAGCACAUGUAAUGCACAUAACAUAAAGUAGAUGUACACUCUUCUAGGUGAAGCUACAAAGCAUUAGAGCAGAGCUGGGAUGCUGAAGAAAACAAGGUCUUCAAGGGUUCCAAUGGUUACUCCUACCUAUUCAAUUUCAUAUCUACUGGUGUCCCAGAACUCCAAUGAUGGCACAAGGAUACAAUAAGGAAAGUGGUGGAUUGUGUCCAGAGGAGGGCUGAAUCUCAGCUCUGCCAUUUAUUUACCUAUGCGAUUUUGGGUAUUAAUCCAGAGGAUUGAAACAUGGGCCAGUUUUAUACCUAGAAGCAGUAAGGUACAAAUCCAAGAAGCCCC